GCGCGCAGGUGGUUUCUUAAGUCUGAUGUGAAAGCCCACGGCUCAACCGUGGAGGGUCAUUGGAAACUGGGAGACUUGAGUGCAGAAGAGGAAAGUGGAAUUCCAAGUGUAGCGGUGAAAUGCGUAGAGAUUUGGAGGAACACCAGUGGCGAAGGCGACUUUCUGGUCUGUAACUGACGCUGAGGCGCGAAAGCAUGGGGAGCAAACAGGAUUAGAUACCCUGGUAGUCCAUGCCGUAAACGAUGAGUGCUAAGUGUUAGGGGGUUUCCGCCCCUUAAUGCUGCAGCUAACGCAUUAAGCACUCCGCCUGGGGAGUACGACCGCAAGGUUGAAACUCAAAGGAAUUGACGGGGGCCCGCACAAGCGGUGGAGCAUGUGGUUUAAUUCGAAGCAACGCGAAGAACCUUACCAGGUCUUGACAUCCCAGUGACCGCUCUAGAGAUAGAGUUUUCCCUUCGGGGACAUUGGUGACAGGUGGUGCAUGGUUGUCGUCAGCUCGUGUCGUGAGAUGUUGGGUUAAGUCCCGCAACGAGCGCAACCCUUAAUCUUAGUU
rnacentral:rRNA from 1 species